rnacentral:lncRNA from 1 species
CUGAAGCCCUCCCGCAGCCAGCCAGCCAGCCAGUCGCUUGUUUGUAUCUCCUCCAUAAAAUGGAAAUGUCAUCUGGAUGUGACGUCGCCUCUUUGUGCCAGUGAUAUUUUGAAAGAGACAAAUAUGCCUGGCCUGCAGCUACACAGCAACAUCCUCAAACUCUGAGUCCUCCUGGAUAUCAGGGAUCCCUCACUAUCCUGCACAUCAGGCAAGCGAGUGGUCUGCUCUUGUUAUCUGCCUUCCACAGCUGGGAGGAGCUGCGCAUCUUCUCCGUCCCCGCUGUCAUUCUUCCAAUAAUGGUG